UUCACUCACUCACUCACACUCACUCAUGCUUGACCACCGAGAAUUGAGAGGGUUAUUGCGGCGGCGGCUUCAUUGCUUUCGCCGGUGGCAUCUCAUCGUCUUUCAAAUCUCAGCGUGAAGUAGAAGACGCUGAUCGCUGCUUUCACUCACUCGUCUCUCUGUUUUCGAAACACGCUGUUUCUUGGCUUCCACCCUCAACCAACCUUCAAUCUCAACCCUAACAUUAGGGUUAUUGCUCUGAUUCCCAAUUUCCCACCCUAACAUUAGGGUUCUUGGUUCUAGGGUUAUUCAACACUUCUUCUUCUUCCAUCAUCCAGACCUCCAACUCCAGGAGUUCUUAGUUGAGGAAUUGGUUGGGAAGGUCUUUCUAGUGUCUUGGCCGGUCUCUGGGGAACUUUAACGUUUGCACAAUUGCUGUGACUAAAUUUGGAAGCCACUAUAGUGUUGUCUCUUGUGGUGAUGGCGAUGCGAUGGAGUCCCAAGCUGAAGCUCUGGGGCAGUUGACAAGUGAUGAUCUUGAAGGGAAGGUCGAGUAGAUUUGUCAGAUGUGAAGUAUCAAGUGUUGUUUUCACGGAAGAAUGGUUAUACAAGAUUCAUGUGUAGCAUGAGAGAUGCUAAGAUGUCAUUGUUUCUGGUUGAGAUUUGAGAAUGAAAGGUUACUAGGCUGAUUCCAGCACGGGAGAUGCUAAGAUGUCAUUGUUUCGGGUUGAGAAUGAAAGGUUACUAUGCGGAUUCCAGGGCGGGGACCCCACAGUGCAGGGAGAGUGAUCAUCAUCCUCGUCCCCAAAUUCUUAUCGGAGGCAUUUUCAUCCUCGUCCCUAUCUCCACGGGGAAAAAUUCCCCAAGAUCGAGGCCCCAAACGGGGCAGUCCCCACGGGGAUCUCCAUAUUCGGAUGGAAAUUGCCAUUCCUAGGUCUGGAUGACUUCAACUUUAGAUUCAUAAAGGCUUUCUGGCAGGAAAUGAGGAUGGAUUUCAAGAGGGUGUUGGAUGAUUUUCAUAGGCAUGGUGCUUGGCCCAGAGGGGGAAACUCUUCUUUAUUACCCUAAUCCCUAAGGUAGAUACUCCGGUUGGACUGAAUAAUUUUAGGCCGAUUUCCCUAAUUGGAUGCAUGUAUAAAAUUGUUGCAAAGAUCCUAGCAAACAGACUUAGCUUGGUGAUGGAGAAGAUAAUUGAUAAGAACCAAUCAGCGUUUGUCGGGGAAGACAAAUGUUGGAUAGCGUGUUGGUGGCGAAUGAGGUUAUUGAUGAAGCGAAAAGUAAGAAGAAAGCUUGCCUUGUGUUCAAAGUGGACUUUGAAAAAGCCUACGAUCCUGUUAGUUGGGACUUCCUCUAUUACAUGAUGCAUGGGAUGAGGUUUUGUGGGAAAUGGAUUGGUUGGAUAAAGGGGUGUGUCCAAUCGACUUCGAUAUAGUAGAAAAAAUGAGAUGAGAUGAGAUAAAAUAAAGAAAAAAAUAUAGGAGAUGAACAUAUAGGUAGUUUAGGAAUGAACCUGAGUAAUCAACAAAUUUUUGUAUAAAGUAAACAAAAAUACGAGGUUAAGAUUUACAUGGGCCAAUAAUAUAUAUUUUGACAUGUGUUUUAUAAAAUUCUAAAUCAUGACACAUAUCAAAAUAUUAUUGAAUCACUUAAAACUAGAGUGAUUUUACUUAAUAUUUACUUCGCUGAUUUAGAGAUAGUCCUAAAAAAUAUUAAUGAAUUUACUAUUUUACCCAAUUAAAAAGUUUAAUAACGAUAUAAAUACGUCUUUCAAAUGUUAGAGUAAGUCAGACGUGACUCAACUUUAUAAGCUAUAGAACAUAGUUCGACACAUUUAUUGCAAUUAAUUAAUUUUUUAAAAAGUGAAUAAAUUUCUAUCACUUCUUACAAAAUGUGUGACUUUAAAAAAAAACAUGAUGAGUGUUUUGCAAGCAUUUUUCUAUAUUUAUUAUAUUUUUUUGAUACAAGCAUUUUUCUAUAUUUAUUAUAUGAUAUUUCUUAUACCUCCGGUCACUAUAAGUAAAAAAUAAGUUUUAAAAUUUAUUCAAUAAAUGAUAUAUCUAGUCUAUAAUAAUAAAUUAAUCAUCAUUUAUUUAAUGAAUCUAAAAUAUUGUUUUUUGCCUAUAAUAGUGACGAGAGGAUUUAUAUUUUUGUGAAUGUCUGAAACUGUUCAUAUUGGGAAAAGAAAAGAACACACCGAGAAAUGAGAUGAAUCUUAUCGCCGGUAAAGGCACAACUCAGUCCAACUACAACAGCUAGAGAAAGCGAGAAAAUGGAAAGGAGAAAGUAAUUGACAAAGUGCUUCUGGCGAUAAAUAUAAAGCAGACACACCGCUGCAAUUGUGUGCAAAACCACCACCAAAAACAUUAUUAUUAGAGAAAAAAAUUAAGAAGAAGAAGAAAGAAUUGAACACCCAGUGAUAGAAAGAGACGCACUGAUAAGAGGUACUAAGAUGAGGAGGAUGUAGACAACAAGGCCGGCAUCAGUGGUGGCGAAGAAGACUGAGAUGGGGUUGACGAUGGUGAUGACAGCGGCGACUGCUACAGUGGCGAGCAACUGAAUAGCGAUUAUGGUGUAGACUUUUCGGAUGAAGGACCACUGCAGUUCAGAGGUCUCGAACAUCAACGUGUACAUAGGCUCCGCAUCCGUUUUCCACAUCUUCUUAAGCUUUGCUCUAUAGCUAUUUUUUACGCUACACAGAUUCUCGAUUUACAAAAGGUGUGUGAAAGUGGCUUAUCAUAAAAAAAACAAAAGAUGUGAAAGUCAAAAUAUGCUUUGAGUUUUAAUCUCGAUCUUCUUUGUUCACUUGGUGUGGAAGGGGUAAGAGUGUCAAGUUUUUUUUAGAAAUGGUUGUUGUUUUAGAAAUUUAAGAUUAUUUAUCACAUUUUAUACUCCGUUUUUUAUUACAAUUUUAUAUACUCCCUCAUUAUAAAAAUGAUUGUUGUUUUAUAAAUUCAAUACUCCCUCAGUUCCUAUUUAACUGUCCAGGAAAAGAAGAAACACACAUAUUAAGGAGUGCAAUUAAUUUUCUUACUUUUCAUAGAAGUAUUAUUUGAUUUCUUAUUUCACCCAUUAAAAUGUAUAUUAUCUUUCCUCAUUUAUUGUUCCUGCAAGGACUUUUCUUGGAAAAACAUCAUUUAAUAUUCUCUUAAAACUCUAAGUGGACAAAUAUAUAGGAACAAAUUUAUUCUUCAAAGUGGACAGUUAAUAAGGAACAGAGAGAGUACUAUUUAUCACAUCUUCUUCCAUAUAUACUCUCGUUUAAUAUUAUUAUAUCUCUUACCUAAUACCUCAAAUUCUCACCAAUCACAAUUCUUACUAAUUACUCACCCAAUGACUAUUAUUCUCUCUUUUUAAUAAAAUUCAACUUUAAAUAGAGGUGUUUUAGACAAAUCUUAUAUUAAUUAAUGAGUUUUUAAACUGUGUUGAUCAUCUAAGAUAACAACCAUUUUAACAUCAGGGAGUAUAUAUUUUAUUUUAUUUUUCGUAUACUUUAACGUUGGAUUUGCAUAACGGAUCAAAAUCAUACGUCUCCUCUUUCUGUCUCUAUUCCUGUCCCACCAACCAUAAUUUGACACCUCAAUUAAAAUGUACACGCGAGCAUUUUCUUUACCUUAACUCUGUUACCGCGUUCCGUCACUCACUUGCCUGCUUUACUCAUUUGUGAUCUAGCGGCGUUACCUUGUAUUUUCUUUGUCGGUCACUCCAAAUCCAAUUGUAGCAACAACUCCACUCACAAUAACAUUGUGCUGCCUCCAUUGCCCAUUACAUGAGAGAAGAAACAUUGAAAUAUUUAUUAAUUGUUGAUGAUUUUGAGACUUGUUUUCUUGGUUCUGUGUUGCUGUUGAAUUUGGGAAUUAAAUUUGAUUUUAUAUUAUUAGUUAUUGGUAAUUUUUCAAACCCUAAUUUCCCAAAAUUCCCCCAAAUCUUGGUUUUGAUACUUCCCGUCCCUCAACUAAGUGCGAUGACAACAAGAUGUAGAAAUUGAUGCAGAUGAAAAACGAAGCUAGAUGGAGGGCAAAGGAGGUAACCAGCACGAAGGCAACCGUCGAAGAAAUUUCUAAAGCGCCGAUCAAGGUGGUUACGCCAAUAAUCACCGCCGCUGAGGAUCUUGAGGCUCGCCACCGCCUCGUCUGUCGGCGCGAACAACGUUAGCGGAGGAUGAUUCUAGAGCCCCAAGAACUGCAUGAGUGAUGCCAUGAUAGAGCACCCUCUCGAACUCAAGGAGCCGCAGUGGCGACUGCCGACGACUACAGAGGGAGGUGAUGCAUGGAGAGAGAAAGUGUGGGGGAGGAGGAGAGAGGCGAGAAAAGGGAAAUUAAGAAAAAGAAGAUGAAGUUGAACAAACGUCUACUUAACGCCGUUAAAUGAAAAGAGUGAUGUGUUGGAAUUUUUAAUUGAGUUGUCAAUUUCUUACUGGUGGGACAGGGUUUGGGCCAGAGAAUUGAGGCAGAGGAUUUGGACUCCUUGCAUAACUCAUAAAAAAAUAACAAUAAUUCAAUAUUGUCUUCUUACUAACACUUCAUUAAUGAAUAUAUAAAUUUUCAUGUGAAUCAACUCGAUCAAACAUAUGCCAAUACUCAAAACGAAGAGACCAAGAAACAUGAAAAGAGGAACAACCACUCACAUGUAAACGUUUAAAAUUGUCAAAUUUUCCAUAUCAUCAUGCUGCCUUCACAAGUUGACAUUAAGAAAUCGAUAUCUUGUCUUCUUCCAUGUGGAACAACAAUUUCUUUGUCACUACAUGAUAUUUUCAAUGUUAUCAACUUAUCAUCACAUGUAAAUUGUAAAGUUGCUUCAAUUUAUGUUUAAACAACUGAUAAUU